GCUCACUUCAACAGCACAUAUACUAAAACUGGAGUGAUCCUGAGAAGAUCACCAUGGCCCUGUGCAAGAAUGACAUGUGAACCAGUGAUGCAUUCAAUAUAUAU